CUGAAGAGUUUGAUCAUGGCUCAGAUUGAACGCUGGCGGCAGGCUUAACACAUGCAAGUCGAGCGGUAACAGGUCGCUGAGAUUCCUUCGGGAUGAUCUUGAUGCUGACGAGCGGCGGACGGGUGAGUAACGCGUGGGAACGUACCCUUUUCUACGGAAUAGCCUCGGGAAACUGAGAGUAAUACCGUAUACGCCCUUCGGGGGAAAGAUUUAUCGGAGAAGGAUCGGCCCGCGUUGGAUUAGGUAGUUGGUG
rnacentral:rRNA from 12 species